AAAUUGAAGAGUUUGAUCAUGGCUCAGAUUGAACGCUGGCGGCAGGCCUAACACAUGCAAGUCGAGCGGUAGCACAGAGAGCUUGCUCUCGGGUGACGAGCGGCGGACGGGUGAGUAAUGUCUGGGAAACUGCCUGAUGGAGGGGGAUAACUACUGGAAACGGUAGCUAAUACCGCAUAAUGUCGCAAGACCAAAGUGGGGGACCUUCGGGCCUCAUGCCAUCAGAUGUGCCCAGAUGGGAUUAGCUAGUAGGUGGGGUAACGGCUCACCUAGGCGACGAUCCCUAGCUGGUCUGAGAGGAUGACCAGCCACACUGGAACUGAGACACGGUCCAGACUCCUACGGGAGGCAGCAGUGGGGAAUAUUGCACAAUGGGCGCAAGCCUGAUGCAGCCAUGCCGCGUGUGUGAAGAAGGCCUUCGGGUUGUAAAGCACUUUCAGCGGGGAGGAAGGCGUUAAGGUUAAUAACCUUGGCGAUUGACGUUACCCGCAGAAGAAGCACCGGCUAACUCCGUGCCAGCAGCCGCGGUAAUACGGAGGGUGCAAGCGUUAAUCGGAAUUACUGGGCGUAAAGCGCACGCAGGCGGUCUGUCAAGUCGGAUGUGAAAUCCCCGGGCUCAACCUGGGAACUGCAUUCGAAACUGGCAGGCUAGAGUCUUGUAGAGGGGGGUAGAAUUCCAGGUGUAGCGGUGAAAUGCGUAGAGAUCUGGAGGAAUACCGGUGGCGAAGGCGGCCCCCUGGACAAAGACUGACGCUCAGGUGCGAAAGCGUGGGGAGCAAACAGGAUUAGAUACCCUGGUAGUCCACGCCGUAAACGAUGUCGAUUUGGAGGUUGUGCCCUUGAGGCGUGGCUUCCGGAGCUAACGCGUUAAA
rnacentral:rRNA from 1 species